rnacentral:rRNA from 1 species
AGCGAACGCUGGCGGCAGGCCUAACACAUGCAAGUCGAACGAAGUCUUCGGACUUAGUGGCGGACGGGUGAGUAACACGUGGGAACGUGCCUUUAGGCUCGGAAUAACUCAGGGAAACUUGUGCUAAUACCGAAUGUGCCCUUCGGGGGAAAGACUUAUCGCCUUUAGAGCGGCCCGCGUCUGAUUAGCUAGUUGGUGAGGUAAAGCUCACCAAGGCUACGAUCAGUAGCUGGUCUGAGAGGAUGACCAGCCACAUUGGGACUGAGACACGGCCCAAACUCCUACGGGAGGCAGCAGUGGGGAAUCUUGCGCAAUGGGCGAAAGCCUGACGCAGCCAUGCCGCGUGGAUGAUGAAGGUCUUAGGAUUGUAAAAUCCUUUCACCGGUGAAGAUAAUGACUGUAGCCGGAGAAGAAGCCCCGGCUAACUUCGUGCCAGCCGCCGCGGUAAGAC